AUUGAACGCUGGCGGAAUGCUUUACACAUGCAAGUCGAGCGGCAGCGCGGCCUUCGGGCUGGCGGCGAGCGGCGAACGGGCGAGUAAUUCAUCGGAACAUGCCCAGUCGUGGGGGAUAACACUUCGAAAGAAGUGCUAAUACCGCAUACGUUCUGAGGUGGAAAGCGGGGUAUCGCAAGACCUCGCUCCAUUGGAGUGGCCGAUGUCAGAUUAGCCAGUUGGUGGGGUAAAGGCCUACCAAGGCGACCAUCUGUAGCUGGUCUGAGAGGCUGAUCGGCCACACUGGAACUGAGACACGGCCAAGACUCCUCCGGGAGGCAGCAGUGGGGAAUUUUGGACAAUGGGGGCAACCCUGAUCCAGCCAUUCCGCGUGAGUGAAGAAGGCCUUCGGGUGGUAAAGCUCUUUCGGCAGGAACGAAACGGUGGGGUCUAACAUAGUCCGCUAGUGACGGUACCUGAAGAAGAAGCACCGGCUAACUACGUG
rnacentral:rRNA from 1 species